CUAGUACCCAUGGUACCAAUGGUAUCCAUGGCCAGGGCCUGGUACCCAUGGUACCCAUGGCCAGGGCCUAGUACCCAUGGUACCAAUGGUAUCCAUGGCCGGGGCCUGGUACCCAUGGUACCCAUGGCACCCAUGGCCUGGGCCUGGUACCCAUGGUACCGAUGGUAUCCAUGGCCGGGGCCUGGUACCCAUGGUACCCAUGGCACCCAUGGCCUGGGCCUGGUACCCAUGGUACCCAUGGUAGCCAUGGCCGGGGCCUGGUACCCAUGGCCAGGGCCUGGUUUCUGCUGCCAUUCCCUUCUGGGAAGUCUGAUCUGCCCCUGGCCACCCAGGGAAAUGAAAUCAAAUGACCUCUCUUCAAAACAGCCAUUUCAGAAAAUUACAUCCUGAAGAUGUAACCACUUGAAAGGAACUUGCACCCAGAAACUCCAACUAUUGCUAUUGGCCUUUUCAUGGUGAUAUUUUUAUAGGCUUCCCAUUCUUAUCAUACUGGUAAACAAGCAUUUUGAUGCAGUGAGAGUUGGCUGGGGAAAUCCAAGGGCUGCUUGUUAUGGAAAAGUUAUGGUUUGUAUAGAAUUGCACAGGUUGCUUCUGACACUUAAAGAAGGCUUUCAAGGUGGCAGCUGCCAUUGUGCGAAAUCUUUUGCUAAUAAAACAGUAGAGGAAGAAAUUAAUAGCAGUGUUCAGCAGCGCCAGCAUAUUGGCAAUGUCCGACACAAUAUGGACCACCCAGCUGUUGUUUAUAGGAGACACGUAGAGGUGAUACAGUAUCAUGAUUAUUCUUGGCGCCCACAGUAUGGCAAAAAUAGAAGUUAUAGUGAACAAAAUGGCUGUUGUUUUCCCCGUGGAGUACCCUCGCAGGCGGAAAUUGCUCUUUCGCCGCAGCUUGUACACGAUGAUGGAGUUCAGGAUGAAGAAGAUGGAGCAGGGCACCAAGUACACGGUGAAGCAGUGGACCCAGAUGAGGACGUGGUGCAUGGACGUGCUGAUGUAGUCUUCAAUCCAAAUGUUGGGCCACCAGUAGUAGGGGAUGCUGGUCAGGAAGCAGGUGGUGUAGACGCUGACAAUGACCUUGCGAGUGCGAGCAGGGUAGGAGACCGUGUGGUACUUGAGGGGGUGGCACACAGCGAUGUAGCGGUCGAUGGUCAGCGGCACCGUAAUCCAAAUCGACGUGUGGAUGGAAGAAAACUCCAAAACCUCAAUUAUUUUGUCCAGUACCUGAGGCAUCUGUUUGUUUAAGAUGAAGUCUUCCAUGAGGAAGUCAACAAAGACGAUGAAGAAGAGAACCAGGAUGUCAGCAGCAGCCAGAGCUAGAAGGUAAUUAUAGGAGGACUUCUGCCUGCGAGCUACAAGCUGGGAGAGGAUGAUGACUGUCAAGAUGUUUGCUGUGGAGAAAGAAAUACAGAGUUAGGCUAUUAAGAUGUAACAUCAGAUUUUCUGAGCACUUCUUUGAAGUUGUUCAAGCACUUGGCAACAUGACCACCUUAAUAAAGUUCAAGAAACCAAAAUGAAA